AACGCUGGCGGCAGGCUUAACACAUGCAAGUCGAACGAACUCUUCGGAGUUAGUGGCAGACGGGUGAGUAACGCGUGGGAACCUACCUUUAGGUACGGAACAACAGUUGGAAACGACUGCUAAUACCGUAUGUGCCCUAUGGGGGAAAGAUUUAUCGCCUAAGGAUGGGCCCGCGUUGGAUUAGCUAGUUGGUGGGGUAAAGGCCUACCAAGGCGACGAUCCAUAGCUGGUCUGAGAGGAUGAUCAGCCACACUGGGACUGAGACACGGCCCAGACUCCUACGGGAGGCAGCAGUGGGGAAUAUUGGACAAUGGGCGCAAGCCUGAUCCAGCCAUGCCGCGUGAGUGAUGAAGGCCCUAGGGUUGUAAAGCUCUUUCAGCGAGGAGGAUAAUGACGUUACUCGCAGAAGAAGCCCCGGCUAACUUCRU
rnacentral:rRNA from 1 species